UGGACAGAUAAAAUCCCUAAGCCUUGAAUAGCACAAGACCUAGCCUCAGCUCUAUGGGACAAAGACAUGGGACCCAGGCCCUGAACUUCUGCUCCUAUUCCAUGAAUCUUGAGAAGGAUAAGAUCAGAGACUGGAGGGUCCCUCAGUUAGAGCUCAAGGCAGAAGAGAAAAAGGCUCAAAAAGAAGCUGGAGACUCAAGAAGCAUCUGGGGAGGAUCUGGUAUAAGGUAAAUGAAGUCUGUUUCCCCUGUCAAUGGGUCACCAUCAUCUGUGUAAUCCUAAGCCAGUUACUGCCACCAGCUCUGCUCUCCAAUGAGUAUACUGUUAAUAUUUACCUCCAAAGACAGCUGGAGUGACAGUACAAUCAGCAGGGGCUACAUCUCACUGACAAUGGUCAUUGCUCAGUGACCAGGGAGUAUUUUUGACCAUUCCACCACAACCACCUGCUUCAUGAAUGUAUAGCUUUAGAGCCAUGCAAUGUUUACAUCUUCAAAAAAAAUGAAAAGUACAAUUUUCUUGAUCU
rnacentral:lncRNA from 1 species